rnacentral:rRNA from 1 species
UUUUGACCGUGCAAAGGUAGCGCAAUCACUUGUCUUUUAAAUAGAGACCUGUAUGAAUGGCUAAACGAGGGCUUAACUGUCUCCCCUUUCAAGUCAGUGAAAUUGAUCUACCCGUGCAGAAGCGGGUAUAAUACUACAAGACGAGAAGACCCUUUGGAGCUUAAGGUACAAAACUCAACCACGUUAAGCAACUCAAUAAAAAGCAAAAACCUUGUGGACCAUGAGAUUUUACCUUCGGUUGGGGCGACCACGGAGGAAAGAAAAGCCUCCAGGUGGACUGGGAAAACCUCCUAAAACCAAGAGAGACAUCUCUAAGCCACAGAACAUCUGACCAAAUAUGAUCCGGCUAACACAUAGCCGAUCAACGAACCAAGUUACCCUAGGGAUAACAGCGCAAUCCUCUCCCAGAGUCCAUAUCGACGAGGGGG